CGAGUCCGUCCGGGUCGCCGCGGCGGAAGCGGCGGCGCUUCCCGGCAGCUCUUCCCGGCAGCUCUUCCCGGCAGCGCCAGCCCUUCCGGCGGCGGCGGGGGUAUGGAUAACAGAAAGGAGGAAAGAAGUAGGUCGCUGUGUGCAACAUCACAAGAAGAGCUGAAAGUCCAAGGAAAAGAAAAAAGAAAACGAAAACGUAGCAGAAGCAGAUCAUCAUCAAUUUCAUCCACAUCAUCUUCUAGUACUGCCACUACAUCCGCUUCUUCCUCCUCAUCACGCUCGUCAUCAAGGUCUUCUUCCAGUAGCAGAGAUUCUCGUAAAUCUAAAUCGAAGAAAAAGAAAAAAGAAAAACACAACAAAAAGUUGGAAUAUAUAUCUUAUACUCAUAGAAGAGGAAAAAAGAGAACAAAGUGA
rnacentral:lncRNA from 1 species